rnacentral:rRNA from 1 species
GGUGGCUGACGAGUGGCGGACGGGUGAGUAAUACAUCGGAACGUGCCCGAUCGUGGGGGAUAACUACUCGAAAGAGUGGCUAAUACCGCAUACGAUCUACGGAUGAAAGCGGGGGAUCGCAAGACCUCGCGCGGACGGAGCGGCCGAUGGCAGAUUAGGUAGUUGGUGGGAUAAAAGCUUACCAAGCCGACGAUCUGUAGCUGGUCUGAGAGGACGACCAGCCACACUGGGACUGAGACACGGCCCAGACUCCUACGGGAGGCAGCAGUGGGGAAUUUUGGACAAUGGGGGAAACCCUGAUCCAGCCAUGCCGCGUGCAGGAUGAAGGCCUUCGGGUUGUAAACUGCUUUUGUACGGAACGAAAAGACUCUUUCUAAUACAGAGGGUCCAUGACGGUACCGUAAGAAUAAGCACCGGCUAACUACGUGCCAGCAGCCGCGGUAAUACGUAGGGUGCAAGCGUUAAUCGGAAUUACUGGGCGUAAAGCGUGCGCAGGCGGUUAUAUAAGACAGAUGUGAAAUCCCCGGGCUCAACCUGGGAACUGCAUUAGUGACUGUAUAGCUGGAGUGCGGCAGAGGGGGAUGGAAUUCCGCGUGUAGCAGUGAAAUGCGUAGAUAUGCGGAGGAACACCGAUGGCGAAGGCAAUCCCC